GACGAACGCUGGCGGCGUGCUUAACACAUGCAAGUCGAACGAAGAGCGAUGGAAGCUUGCUUCUAUCAAUCUUAGUGGCGAACGGGUGAGUAACGCGUAAUCAACCUGCCCUUCAGAGGGGGACAACAGUUGGAAACGACUGCUAAUACCGCAUACGAUCUAAUCUCGGCAUCGAGGAUAGAUGAAAGGUGGCCUCUACAUGUAAGCUAUCACUGAAGGAGGGGAUUGCGUCUGAUUAGCUAGUUGGAGGGGUAACGGCCCACCAAGGCGAUGAUCAGUAGCCGGUCGGAGAGGAUGAACGGCCACAUUGGGACUGAGACACGGCCCAGACUCCUACGGGAGGCAGCAGUGGGGAAUCUUCCGCAAUGGACGAAAGUCUGACGGAGCAACGCCGCGUGAGUGAUGACGGCCUUCGGGUUGUAAAGCUCUGUUAAUCGGGACGAAAGGCCUUCUUGCGAAUAGUGAGAAGGAUUGACGGUACCGGAAUAGAAAGCCACGGCUAACUACGUG
rnacentral:rRNA from 1 species